rnacentral:rRNA from 1 species
GUCCAUGCUGUAAACGAUGAGUGCUGGGUGUUGCGGGUAUUGACCCCCGCGGUGCCGAAGUCAACACGUUAAGCACUCCGCCUGGGAAGUACGGCCGCAAGGCUAAAACUCAAAGGAAUUGACGGGGGCCCCGCACAAGCGGUGGAGCAUGUGGUUUAAUUCGACGCAACGCGCAGAACCUUACCCGGGCUCGAAAGUGCUGGAACUCUGCCGAAGGUGGGGGUGCCCGCAAGGGAACCAGUAUCCAGGUGCUGCAUGGCUGUCGU